CCUACGGGUAGCAGCAGUAGGGAAUAUUGCUCAAUGGGGGAAACCCUGAAGCAGCAACGCCGCGUGGACGAUGAAGGUUUUCGGAUUGUAAACUCCUUUUGUUAGGGAAGAUAAUGACGGUAUCUAACGAAUAAGCAACGGCCAACUCCGUGCCAGCAGCCGCGGUAAUACGUAGGGUGCAAGCGUUACUCGGAAUCACUGGGCGUAAGGGGCGCGUAGGCGGGAUAGCAAGUCAGAUGUGAAAUCCUAUGGGUUAAACAUAGAACUGCAUUGGAAACUGGUAUUCUAGAGUAUGGGAGAGGUAGGUGGAAUUCUUGGUGUAGGGGUAAAAUCCGUAGAGAUCAAGAAGAAUACUCAUUGCGAAGGCGACCUGCUAGGACAUAACUGACGCUGAUGCGCGAAAGCGUGGGGAGCAAACAGGAUUAGAUACCCCUGUAGUC
rnacentral:rRNA from 1 species